AUGGAUGACGCGCUGUCGCAGAUUAGCGAGGCGUUCCGGCUCGCCGGCGAGCUCAUGGGUGAGCUCCAGGCCACCCAGAACGGCCCGGCCUACAUCGCCGCACGCUGCCACGGCAUUGUCCAUGCCUACAACAGAGCCAUCCGCAUGUUGCAGCACUACGGCGUGGGCGACGUGGCCGCAGCCGCCGCGCCGCGUGAGCUCGACGCCGGGCCGCGAGACAUCCUGCGCCUGUGCAGCACGGAUGAAGCCGGCGCCAGCCAGUUUCUCGGAGAGACUCCGGCGCAUUUGGCCCACCGGAAGGAGCCAUUCCACAUGCCGGCCGGCGUGUUCGGUGCGCGAGUGGCGCCACAGCAUACGAUGUGCGCGGGGGCGGGCGUCGCCGGCACGUCCGGUGGCCCGAUGAGGAGGCUGCCGUCGUCCAGGUCUCCGCCAGCGGUCCAGCCACGGCAGGGCAGGAGGAGGAGGGAAAGCGGGAAGAGGGAGAUGGUGUUGGUACCUGCACAGCGGACGGGCAACACUGAACUUCCACCAGACGACGGAUACACGUGGCGCAAGUACGGCCAAAAAGAUAUUCUCGGCUCAAGGUACCCAAGGAGCUACUAUCGGUGCACUCAUAAGAACUACUAUGGUUGUGAUGCGAAGAAGAAGGUGCAGCGCUUGGAUGACGACACCUUCAUGUACGAGGUAACAUAUUGUGGCGACCACAGCUGCCUCACUUCCAUCACCCCGUUACUCAUGCUCCCCACAGCUAGCACCACAACCUCUGCUGCCAACUCUCCAACCGCCGCGACAGGCUCCGGCCUCCCCACUAGAGACCUCCCCAUGGAACUGGCUGAGAGGACGCACUCGGCCGCGUUGUCCAUGCCAGUCAAGCUCGACAUUAGCUGGAUGCCGGCAAGCUUCCAAGGCCAUUUGGCGGGCUCUGGCACUGGCAUGGGGAGCAUCGCCAACAUGAAGAUGAACGUGUCCACCGCACCGAGGGACACGAAUUUCCCGACGCUGGAUCUCGGAGACGUCAUGUUCAACUUCGGCAGCAGCAUGGACCACAUUUUCUCUUCUUAUGAUCGACAUAAUAAAUAG
rnacentral:rRNA from 1 species